CGGUUUUGUCUAACAUGGCCCUGGCACAUUGGGAUCUUCAGGCCAAGGCAGCCACUGGGAUACAUCCUGCCAGCUACAGCUUUGGGAAGCAUGCUGGCAGGAGGCCCACACAGCUCCUUGAAGAAGACAGCCAGGCCAGGGCCAAGACUGGGAGCCAGAGGCAAUGGAACCGCCAAAUGCCUCCCAUUUUAUGGACAGGCCUGGCUCAACCUGAAGACAUUCCAAAUACUCAGUCAACAGCCAUGGUCCAUAUGAGGUUGGAAAAGGAGCCCCUAGAAGCCAUCCCUUUAAAGGCACUAAGCUGGAGGACGAAGCUGGCCUUGUCCAUAAACCAGGUUCAACAAAUGGGGAAAGUGCACCAUACCGUCGAUAAUCAAUAAUCAGAGGCUGGCAGCUGCUGGGAGUUCACCCCCUCCUUCUUUCCCACACAGGAGUGGGCGCAGCCAGGAAUCCAUCUCACCCACCUCUCUACACCAAGCCCCGGGGAGGGCAGGCGAGGGAGGAACCAUUUUUCACAUACUUUCUCUUUCAAAAUUCAGCCCUGUUUCGCAAUUUCCUACUUAAGUUCUGGAAGGCUCUAGGGCAAUAACCCAAGCUACCUUCUCCAGCCACUGGCCAGAGUCCCUUAUCCUCAGGCACUGACCUGGUAGGCAAUGUCCACUGGAGGUAGGUAGGGGCUCACAAUGCUAGUUCUCCCAAAUCCCACCAAUAAAAACCCAUUCCAGUCAGAGCAGGUCACUGACUCCACAGUGAGGGGUUCUACCACGCACCCUGCCAAGUGUUUAUUCUUCAUCCUGUUGGUUCUUUCUCUGGGACAGCAGGGAGGUAGGCCACACCAAAGCAGGUGCACCCAACCCUGGUAUGCUUGCAUCUCAGCAUCCCCCGAGGCGACCAAUCUUCAGAUUGCCUUCUUCUCCUAUAAUGAGGCUUUUGUUCUUGAUCACUUCCACCUUUGGCCAUGCUCCUUCCCUUUCCAGUGAAUCCAUUUAGUCUUGCCAGAUAGAACCUGUUCUCACAGCCUGUUUUCCCCUUCCCUACCACCAUGACGGUUUCCACCAGUUGCCCAUUGAACGCACAGCAGAUCCAUAGCUGGAGGGGUCUGAGGCAAAAAGCCAGCACCUGGGGAGCCUGGCCCUGUGUCAGGGACAUGGAGCAGGGCCUUAGAGCAGGCCCUGACCCUGAACUCUCUCCCAGUCCUCUUGAACCAAACCAAACAAACCAGAGAAAAGGGGGAAAUCCCCACUUUGGAAAAUCUAGAAAACUCACGACUUCAUCACCCAAGCCAUGGGAUGGGAAACAUACCAGAGUGGGAGGUGGGAAAGAAACGUGUUGUCGGGGUAAGUGUGUGACUCCAUAGAGGAGAAAGUAACAUUUCCCAAACCACGUGGGCAAAUAACCACAUAGAUGUGUUUUCCCCAUCCCAACCCGGAUGCAGGGAGAAGCAGGCAGGCAUCCUGACACAGAUAGACGGCCCCUCCAGCACCCAUCACCCUUCAAAGUGCCAAGUACCAUUUCAGGACUAUUGGUGGUUGUUGGCAGACCUAGGGUUUGGGCCUCAUGUGGGUGUUUUAGGGCUGUGAGCAGAUAACCAGUCGUCACCUGGAAACCUACAUCACCAUCCAGUCCAGAAACAGACAAGAAGAGGCCCAGGGCUCACUGUAUUUAGACAGUGUUAGGGUCAAAUCUAGAAGUUCACAAGGUACUAGGAUGAGAAUGUCCCCCAACCAGUCAUCCUGCAGAUGUGGAAGUCAAGCCUUGAAUUACGCAUCUGUAGACUCAGGACUCCUUCCCUGAGCUGUUCAGGUUCCAGGAGCAGCUUCUGGGAGUGAGGGGAUGGAAGAGGUGAUAAGCAGGGUGACACAGGCCUCAGGAGACCCCUCUCUCGUUCUGGAACUUGUUUGGGUGUGGUUUCAGAAGAGAGCUUAUGUAAGUGUGGCAUACGUGCUGGAGUUCCCCAGGGGCACCUCGCUAUAAGGCAAAUUUGAGUUCUUUACAUCUAUGUAUGGUCUGAGACUGUGUUUUUAGCAAGUUCCCAGGUGAGGCCAUGAUUGCAGGCUGAUGGCCACGCUUGGAAUCACCUAAGGAUCAGGGAUUGGCUGAUAAGAAGUAGAGACAGCCAAGACACAUGGAGACUGAGGAUUGGUCUAGAAGAGAGCUAAACCAAGGGAAACUGAUGCAUCAACGAAGUCAGAGACUGGGAUGAAAGUACAGAAAGACAGGGGAACAACAAAAACAAAACAAAACAAAAGACCUAAGGAGACAGUUAAGAGAAGCAGUGAGACAAAAAACACAGAUGGAAAACCGACGAGUCCAGAAAGACUGCCAAAGCAGGGAAGCCGGCUAGACAUGACAGGGAAGAAGCUACAGCUUGCUGUGGACAGCCUGGGACCAGAAAUGUGCCACCCGAGGCUCCCAGUCUCAACCAGCAGCAGUAAAGGCAUGGUGGCCUGAGUGAAACGAGACCCUUGAAGUAACAGGCACAGACAAGGAGCUUCCUUGUUUUCCAGCUUCCUCAUGUCUGUAUCGCCCUCUCCCAGUCCCAGAGAAUACUCUCCCGAACCUGUUACUCACUCCCUUUUUCUCCUGCCUAUUCAAUCUUUCCCUUCCCUGGACUCUUCCAGACGGUUUUUUAAUAUGUUCUACUCAUUUCCUUUUUUAUAUUUAUUUGUUUAUUUAUUUAUUGGCUUUUCAAGAUAUUUAUUGGUUUCCCUUGCCAGAACCUCAUGGAAUCCAUGUUUUGGUCAAGCAGUGUCUGCUCCCAUUCUAAAAUUAACACAGUUGAAGCCAGAUGUAUACUCCUCCUCCUCUCACACUAGUCUCCCUCCCAAGCUUCCCCCUCAGCACACUGUCCUGUGUCUGUCUGGUGUUUGAGCCAGACACCACUCUCCACACACCACACCCCCCACAGCAGCACCAAACCAAACGCCAUUGACUUUGCUCAUUUCUCUCCCUUUUUAAUGUCGUUUUCCAGGUCCAAGCCUCCAAGCUCGCUCUCUCUCUCUUUUUCUCUCUCUCCUUCCCUCUCUCUCUCUCUCUCUCUCUCUCUCUCUCUCUCUCUCUCUCCCUCUCUCUCUCUCUCCCGGAUGACUGCAACAGCCUCCUGAGCAGCUCUGCAGUCACACAGUAGACAACAGGAGCUUUGCGAAGUGCAAACACAGUCACGCAGUCUACUAUUUGUGACUCAGGUUUGCAGAAUUAAAGCAAGCCCGGUUUGGAGACUCUUCCCAGAAUUGCUUCACUUCACUUGUGCUCCACGCCUUCUGGUCAGUCUGGCUUUCUUCCAGUUCCUUGAACACCAACCUCCAUUCUGCCACAGGACAUUUGAUUAUACUGCUCCCCCUGUAUAGAACUGCGUGGUUGAUGCCAGGUAUGGUGGCACAUGCCUUAAUCCCAGUACUUAGGAAGCAGAAGCAGACAGAUCUUUGUGAGUUGAGGCCAGCCUGAUCUAUAUAGUGAACUGUGUUGUCUAUGGCAAUGAUCACUGGCCACAUGUGGCUAUUGAGCUCUUCAAAAAUGGUCACUGGGCAACUGAAAAAAAUUGAAUUCUUAGUGCUGAUCGGUGAAAUUUAAAACUUAUAAAUAUUCAAUUUAAUUAUUAGAGAACUAUGCUUAAAACAACCUGAGUAUGCAAAUUUCUUGCUUCACUCAAUAUUGGUUUUCAUGAAGUCUAAAUACAAUUUAUGCUUCUAGCAAAAAAUUACAUUAUUUACUGAGUGUGUGUGUGUGUGUGUGUGUGUGUGUGUGUGUGUGUGUUUGCAUGUGAAAGUCAGAGGAUAACUUUUGUUUUUGUUUUUUUGAGACAGGGUUUCUCUGUGAAAUAGUUCUGGCAGUCCUGGAACCCACUCUGUAGACCAGGCUGGCCUUGAACUCACGGAGAAUCACCUGCCUCUGCCUCCUGAGUGCUGGGAUUAAAGGCGUGCAUCAUGGUUUUUGUCUCAGCCUUUUUUUUUUCCACUCUCACAAGCUCCAUGUCUGUGCCAGAAUCUGCCUGUCUUUAACUCACUGUUUGUUCUUGGGGUCUUUCUUGCCCCUUCAUUUGAUGGACAUCUGUCUCUCCCAUCAUCCUCUGAGCUAUGUGAGAGAAAUCUGAGUGUGGCCAUCUGUGGAAACCAACCACUUGGUCCAGAGCUGGUUUGCACUGAUGCCAGCAGAUACCAGCAUGCCACCUGAAGCCAUUCCAUCCACCCCUGUACCUUUGGCCAGAACAAUCCCCAAACAUUGUCAGAGAGCCUGCUCUCUCCCUCCCCCUAUGAGCACCCUGGGGUAUACAGCUGCUGACCUCCCAGAUGGAAGUCCUCCCAUGGAGCUGGCCUGUCCUUCUUCAGAGAAGUCACAGGAGUGCUUCUUGAAAAGGCUGUGUGUGUGGACCAUUUGGAGCCUGGUUAACACACACCCUGUGAGACAGUAGGUCUGGAAUGGCACCUGAGUCUCAUUCCCAACAAGCUUCGUGCCAGCAAAGUCACAGAUGGCCCACAGAUCACAUUCUGAUGAACAAGAAUGCAGAUAGGUCUGGAGAGAUGGCUCAGCGAAUAAGAGCACUUACUGCUUUUGCUGAGGACCUGGGAUGGUUCCCAGCAUCCAUACUAGCAGGUGACAGCCUCCUGGGGCUCUGGCUUCUGUGAGAACCUGCCUGCAUGAGAUGCACAUAAACUCACACAGGCCAACAUACAUUCAGAUAAAUGUCUUCAAAUCUUAAAAAGAAAAAUGCAGAGAACCUGGUGAACAUCCUCUAGGUACCCCUAAAGUUGGCUAUUAGGGGGCUUUUAAAAUUGUGCCCUGCCCCUCCUUGCUCCUAGGUAUAUCCACC
ensembl:lincRNA